rnacentral:rRNA from 1 species
AUGAAUAUCCUAAGCUGGAAUUGUUGUGGUUCCGGGAACGCCACGACAAUUCGUGAACUGUGUGUCCUAUCAAAGGCACAUCUUCCCAAAGUUAUCUUUAUUUGUGAAACUCGUCAAAAAACUGUCCGUAUGCGUCGUCUUAGAAGCCGCUUAGGACUUAGUGGCUUUGCUGGGGUCGAUUGUGUUGGCUUGAGUGGUGGGCUAGCACUGUUCUGGCAGGAGAGUAUGCACGUCGAAGUAAAAGAUUCGAAUGAAAGAUUUAUCGAUGUUUACAUGCGUGCGUCACUGUCUGAUCCAUUGUGGCAUGCUACUUUCGUUUAUGGUGAACCGAGGCAAGAAAACCGUCAUCACAUGUGGUCCACCUUGUGUUCUCUUCGCGCUAUGUCAUCACUGCCGUGGUUUGCAGUGGGGGAUUUUAAUGAGGCUCUCUGGCAGUAUGAACACUUCUCGGCAACACUACGUGCAGAGUCCUUGAUGGCUGCCUUCCGUGAUGCCUUGCUUCUGUGUGGAUUACAUGAUCUUGGUUUUAAAGGGCUGCCUUAUACUUUUGAUAAUGGAAGAGCUAGGAAUGGUAAUGUUAAAGUACGGCUCGCUAGCGGAUGA